UCAGGGGGUACAUGAUGUUGACAUCUUAUAACUGGUGAUGUUCACCUUGAUCACUUGGUUAAGGUGUAGUUCAUAAAUUUCU